rnacentral:rRNA from 1 species
UACGUAGGAGGCAAGCGUUUGUCCGGAGUUACUGGGCGUAAAGCGCACGCAGGCGGUCGCAUCAGUCUGGGGUGACAGUUCCCGGCUUAACCGGAAAAGGACUCUGGAAACUGUGCGACUUGAGGGCUUCAGAGGGAUGUGGAAUUCCAGGUGGAGUGGUGAAAUGCGUAGAGAUCUGGAAGAACACCAAAGGCGAAGGCAGCAUCCUGGGAAGUUCCUGACGCUC